rnacentral:rRNA from 1 species
AACGAACGCUAUCGGUAUGCUUAACACAUGCAAGUCGGACGGACUAAUUAGGGCUUGCUCCAAUUAGUUAGUGGCAGACGGGUGAGUAACACGUGGGAAUCUGCCCAUCAGUACGGAAUAACCUUUAGAAAUAAAAGCUAAUACCGUAUAUUCUCUACAGAGGAAAGAUUUAUCGCUGAUGGAUGAGCCCGCGUCAGAUUAGGUAGUUGGUGAGGUAACGGCUCACCAAGCCGACGAUCUGUAGCUGGUCUGAGAGGAUGAUCAGCCACACUGGGACUGAGACACGGCCCAGACUCCUACGGGAGGCAGCAGUGGGGAAUAUUGGACAAUGGGCGAAAGCCUGAUCCAGCAAUACCGAGUGAGUGAUAAAGGCCCUAGGGUUGUAAAGCUCUUUUAGCAAGGAAGAUAAUGACGUUACUUGCAGAAAAAGCCCCGGCUAACUCCGUG